GAAAUGCGAUAAGUAAUGUGAAUUGCAGAAUUCAGUGAAUCAUCGAAUCUUUGAACGCAUCUUGCGCUCUUUGGUAUUCCUUGGAGCAUGCCUGUUUGAGUAUCAUGAAAUCUUCAAAGUAAAUCUUUUGUUAACUCAAUUGGUUUCUACUUUGGUAUUGGAGGUCUUUGCAGCUUCACACCUGCUCCUCUUUGUUCAUUAGCUGGAUCUCAGUGUUAUGCUUGGUUCCACUCGGCGUGAUAAGUUAUCUAUCGCUGAGGACACUGUAAAAGGUGGCCAAGGUAAAUGCAGAUGAACCGCUUCUAAUAGUCCAUUGACUUGGACAAUACUUUUAUGAUCUGAUCUCAAAUCAGGUAGGACUACCCGCUGAACUUAAGC
rnacentral:misc_RNA from 1 species